CACGUAUUUAGCCGGAGCUUCCUUUUCAGGUACCGUCACUUUCUUCCCUGCUGAUAGAGCUUUACAUAACGAAUUACUUCUUCACUCACGCGGCGUCGCUGCAUCAGAGUUCCCUCCAUUGUGCAAUAUUCCCCACUGCUGCCUCCCGUAGGAGUCUGGGCCGUGUCUCAGUCCCAAUGUGGCCGUCCACCCUCUCAGGCCGGCUACUGAUCGUCGCCUUGGUGUGCUUUUACCACUCCAACUAGCUAAUCAGACGCGGGUCCAUCUCAUACCAGAUUUCUCCUUUUCACACAAAAAACAUGCGUCUUCGUGCGCUUAUGCGGUUUACCACAGUUUCCCGAUGCUAUCCCCCUGUACUGAGCAGGUUGCCCACGCGUUACUCACCCGUCCGCCACCUAAGAUACUUCUCCUUUCACCUCGAAAAGCUUACCAAGCAAUAUACUCCGUUCGACUUGCAUGUGUUAGCACGCCGCAGCGUUCAUCCUGAGUCA
rnacentral:rRNA from 1 species